rnacentral:rRNA from 1 species
CAAAGGUGGAUCCAAAGGGUGAUCCCGCAGAGGGGCGGCCCUGGCGCAAGCCGGGGUAGCCCGUGUAGGCGGGAGAACCCUGCGGUGAAGCCGGCGGGAAACGGGCCGGAUCCUUUGGCCAACGCCUGGGCGUGGUAGGGGAGCGUUCCUCGGGCGGAGAAGCCACGACGUGAGUCGGGGUGGAGCGCGGGGAAGUGAGAAUCCCGGAAUGAGUAGCGUAAACUAGGGUGAAAAUCCCUGGCGCCGAAAGCCCAAGGUUUCCUACGCAACGUUUAUCGGCGUAGGGUUAGUCGGUCCUAAGCCGUAGGCAAGCGCCGAAGGCGAUGGACAGCAGGUUAAUAUUCCUGCACCGCCGUUGUUUCGCUUUAAAACCAAGGAGGGGUGCGGAAGGGUAGGUAGAGCAUGCCUAUUGGACAUGGUGUGUCCUCAACUGUAGGCGAGUCGGGGCAGGUAAAUCCACUCCGGCGUUAAGCAGAGGGUUGAGGGAAUCGAGCCUUCGGGCUACGAAACUCUGUUGAACCCAAACCGACUAGAAAAGCUUCGUGGUUAUGGAGCAAUGGCGACCGUACCGGAAACCGCCACUGGUGGGCAAGGAUAAAAGUCCUAAGGCGUUCGAGCUAACCUCCGCUAAGGAACUAGACAAAAGAGCCCUGUAACUUUGGGAGAAAGGGCCCCCCGGGGGGUGAAGCCACUAGCUGGUGGAGCGUUCUGGGGGCGCAGAGAAGAAGGCCGGGCGACUGUUUAACAAAAACACAGGUCUGUGCUAAGGGGAAACCCUACGUAUACAGGCUGACGCCUGCCCAGUGCCGGAAGGUUAAGGGGAGGAGUGCAAGCUUCGAACUGAAGCCCCGGUGAACGGCGGCCGUAACUCUAACGGUCAACCGAGCGGUCCAAACCAGGCCCCGGGCGCAAGCCCUGGGCCCGGCGGCUGCUUAAGGCCGUUGUAAAAUCUGGCUAUAUGCUGGGAAGCCCGAGUAUCCGGCGCUACCCGUUGAUCGAAUCUGGGUCAAUUGGUGACAAUGCGUCCGGUGCGGACAAUCAGCAGGAAAGACCAUGGAGGAAAUCCCCGCGCCACGUUCCGGACUCUGUCAAGGAAUGGUCCAUGGACGGGGUGGAACUUCACGGAAUCCUCAGAGACCAUACGCCAGACCCGCUGUCGGAACGUGCGGGAAGAUAUGGUCCGAUCUGUGUGGCGACAUGCAGAGGGCGGCAGAAAUGACCGUCCCCUCCGGUACUCAGCCAAACAGGCAACUGUCUGACCGGGAAUCGGGGAGUAACAAAUUGCCUAAGGUAGCGAAGUCCCUUGUCGGGUAAGUUCCGACCCGCAUGAAUGGUUGAACGACUUGGCCAUUGUCUCGGCGGAGGGCUCGGUGAAAUUGCGGUGCCCGUGAAGACGCGGGCGACCCGCGGCAGGACAAAAAGACCCUGUGGAGCUUUACUGUAGCCUGGUAUUGGGCUGGGAGCCGUCAUGUGUAGGAUAGGUGGGAGGCUAUGAUUCCCCGACGCCAGUCGGGGCGGAGCCGCCGUUGAAAUACCACCCUUGGCUGUUUUUGGUCCUAACCUCAGCGCAACUGAGGGACAGUGCCUGGUGGGCAGUUUAACUGGGGCGGUUGCCUCCUAAAAUGUAACGGAGGCGUCCAAAGGUUCCCUCAGGACGGAUGGAAAUCGUCCAUAGAACGCAUUGGCAUAAGGGAGCUUGACUGCGAGACCUACAAGUCGAGCAGGGACGAAAGUCGGGCAAAGUGAUCCUACGGCACCGUGUGGAAGGGCCGUGGCUUAUCGGAUAAAAGCUACCCCGGGGAUAACAGGCUAAUCUCGCCCAAGAGUUCACAUCGACGGCGAGGUUUGGCACCUCGAUGUCGGCUCGCCGCAUCCUGGGGCUGAAGAAUGUCCCAAGGGUCCGUCUGUUCGCCGGUGAAAGCGGCACGCGAGCUGGGUUCAGAACGUCGUGAGACAGUUCGGUCUCUAUCCGCCGCGGGCGUUGGAGGUUUGCGGGGCGCUCUCCCUAGUACGAGAGGACCGGGAUGGACGUACCUCUGGUGUACCAGUUAUUCUGCCAAGGGUAAAUGCUGGGUAGCUAUGUACGGAAGGGAUAACCGCUGAAGGCAUCUAAGUGGGAAACCCC